rnacentral:rRNA from 1 species
CUGGCGGCACGCCUAACACAUGCAAGUCGAACGAAGUAGCAAUACUUAGUGGCAGACGGGUGAGUAACAUGUAGGUAUCUGCCCUUUGGCCUGGAAUAACACGAGGAAACUUGUGCUAAUACCGGAUAAGUCUUUACGGAGAAAGCUUUAUGCACCAUUGGAUGAGCCUGCACUUGAUUAGUUUGUUGGUGGGGUAAUGGCCUACCAAGACUGUGAUCAAUAGCUGAUUUGAGAGGAUGAUCAGCCACAUUGGGACUGAGACACGGCCCAAACUCCUACGGGAGGCAGCAGUGGGGAAUCUUGCACAAUGGAGGAAACUCUGAUGCAGCGAUGCCGCGUGAGUGAAGAAGGCCCUUGGGUUGUAAAGCUCUUUCGUCGGGGAAGAAAAUGACUGUACCCGAAUAAGAAGGUCCGG